UUGCACCCGCUGAUGGAUGCAGCACAUUCUUUUAUAGCGUUUUGCGGGUAACCGGAAUGUGUACCAUCCUGUAUGAAUAAGCACGGCUUUAUUCAUUCAAAGUUUUUU
rnacentral:sRNA from 12 species